GAGGGUAUAGCUUAGGGGUAGAGUGCGUGCUUAGCAUGCACGAGGUCCUGGGUUCAAUCCCCAGUCCUUCCA
rnacentral:tRNA from 1 species